GCGGGGGUGCCAGAGUUGGUCAAAUGGGCUGGGCUUAGGACCCAGUGGCGUAGGCCUGCGCGAGUUCGAACCUCGUCCCCCGCA
rnacentral:tRNA from 1 species